AUUGAACGCUGGCGGCAUGCCUUACACAUGCAAGUCGAACGGCAGCACGGGAGCAAUCCUGGUGGCGAGUGGCGAACGGGUGAGUAAUAUAUCGGAACGUGCCCAGUCGUGGGGAUAACGUAGCGAAAGCUACGCUAAUACCGCAUACGAUCUAUGGAUGAAAGCGGGGGAUCGCAAGACCUCGCGCGAUUGGAGCGGCCGAUAUCAGAUUAGGUAGUUGGUGAGGUAAAGGCUCACCAAGCCGACGAUCUGUAGCUGGUCUGAGAGGACGACCAGCCACACUGGGACUGAGACACGGCCCAGACUCCUACGGAGGCAGCAGUGGGGAAUAUUGGACAAAUGGGCGAAAGACCUGAUCCAGCAAUGCCGCGUGAGUGAUGAAGG
rnacentral:rRNA from 1 species